GCGCAGGUGGCGAAAUUGGUAGACGUACUACCUUGAGGUGGUAGCGCCCUUACGGGCAUGGGAGUUCGAGUCUCCCCCUGCGCACAA
rnacentral:tRNA from 1 species